rnacentral:lncRNA from 1 species
UUUGUUCAAGUUUUCUGCUGAUAAGUCAACUCCGUUAUUCAGAAGGAGCGGUCAGGAUUACUGUAUUAUGCCACGGUGCAGAGUUCAGAGGAAAGAACAGCCUACUGGAUUGCUGAGAACGUAUGUUAUAACAAAAGAAUCACCUUGAUCAUAGCUGAUGUUCCGCUGUUGGGGUCGGUGGCUCCGAUCUUCUCUGUGCCUGUCUUGCGUGCACACGCGUGUGAAGAAAGUGUGUUCUUCUUUUAGCUUGGCUUCUCCUCACACCACAUGUGGCUGUCGUGCGCACGCAAGCACCAACGACGAAGAAGUUCUAGGCAGAAGAGGAAGACGUCCAUGGUGCGCCAGCGAGGCAGGAUAGUGUCGGGGGAUGGGGCGUGGGCCCUUGGGCGGUGUGCUUGGGGACUGGCGAUGGAUGCCGACGCUCGUUUGCCAGGGGUGGGGGUGCUGAUGGUUGGACCCAGGCGCGGGG